rnacentral:rRNA from 1 species
CAUGCAAGUCGAACGAUGAAGCCCAGCUUGCUGGGUGGAUUAGUGGCGAACGGGUGAGUAACACGUGAGCAACCUGCCCCUGACUCUGGGAUAAGCGCUGGAAACGGCGUCUAAUACUGGAUAUGUCCCGUCACCGCAUGGUGUGCGGGUGGAAAGAUUUUUCGGUUGGGGAUGGGCUCGCGGCCUAUCAGCUUGUUGGUGAGGUAAUGGCUCACCAAGGCGUCGACGGGUAGCCGGCCUGAGAGGGUGACCGGCCACACUGGGACUGAGACACGGCCCAGACUCCUACGGGAGGCAGCAGUGGGGAAUAUUGCACAAUGGGCGGAAGCCUGAUGCAGCAACGCCGCGUGAGGGAUGACGGCCUUCGGGUUGUAAACCUCUUUUAGCAGGGAAGAAGCGAAAGUGACGGUACCUGCAGAAAAAGCACCGGCUAACUACGUGCCAGCAGCCGCGGUAAUACGUAGGGUGCAAGCGUUAUCCGGAAUUAUUGGGCGUAAAGAGCUCGUAGGCGGUCUGUCGCGUCUGCUGUGAAAUUCCGAGGCUCAACCUCGGGCUUGCAGUGGGUACGGGCAGACUAGAGUGCGGUAGGGAGAUUGGAAUUCCUGGUGUAGCGGUGGAAUGCGCAGAUAUCAGGAGGAACACCGAUGGCGAAGCAGAUCUCUGGGCCAUAACUG